CAGUGUUGGUACUCAAUCCCCAUCUGAUCUGUCUCCCUUACCAAAAGCUUUGCUUAUACUUCAUCUCUGUCGUUUGCUUUGAUUUGAUUUAUUUUUGCAAUCGUUUUAAUUAGAUAGAGCAAUGGAAGUUCCUGCUUAUAAAAGUCUUAAAUGUUGUUUUCCUGUGUGGGCCUGGUUUCAAAUUAUAUUCACUUUAGCUUUAAGACAAAGAGCCCUAGGUUGUUCAUACCUGAGCUAUUGAUGCGUAUUCCAUAUCUAUAUGAGUGUGUCCCUUCACCCUUUUCUUAAAAGUUUUAUUCUUUACCGUCAUCGAUAGACAUUGAUCUCUUUUGAAGUGGGUGGGGAGAAGAAGAGGGCCGGGGGAAGGAAUUGAGGGAGAAGUAGAUACAAUUGAUAAGGGAUGGUCCAUUUCUGACAUCAUUUUGGAUCUGCAAGAUGUAUGGAGUAAAUCAGAUGACGGGGACCCUCUCAGCUUUUUAUUGGUGUUGCUCUUGCCUUUUACCAGUUAUCUUUUUGUUGUAUGGAGUAAACCAGACGAGGGAGACCCUCUGAGCUUCCCAUUGGUGUUACUCUCACCUUUAACCAGCUACUUUUUUGUUGUAUGGAGUAAACCGGAUGACUCUUUUUGUUGUAUGGAGUAAAUCAGAUGACAAAGACCCUUUCCGCCUCCCAUUGGUGUUGCUGUCACCUUUUACCAGCUUUUUUUUUUUGUUGUUUUUGCCUCUCUGAACCCUCACUUGCCCUGGUGUUCACCCAUCUCCUUUUUGUGACUCUGUAUAUUUAUAUAUUCAUAGAAUCAAACACACUUAUUCAUAAAUAAUAAAAAAUAAAAUAUUUUAUUUAUUAAAAUAUUGAAAUCAUUUAUAUAUAAAGUAACUUUUGUUUGUUUGUUUUUGUUUUAUUUAUUUUUGAUGAAUAGUUGUGCCAAAAAUUUAUUGAUUAAAAAAUAUAAUACACACAUUCACAAAAAAAUGAAGAAAAUUUCAUUAAAAAAAUCAUUCUAAAAAAUUAUAACAUUUAUAAAUCUUCAGACUUACAAUAUGUAUAGAACAAUCUGUACCAUUUAUUAAGAAAAUUUCUAUAAAAAAAAGGUCUAACCUACAAUGUAUGAUAAUAGAGGAUGCUUGGUUAGAGGUGCUGCAAUUACCAAAUUGUAAUAUCUUCCGCAUUUGCAUUUUGUCAUUUGUUUAUUUUGAUCCGAGAUUGACUCUUUAUAUGUUAUUAUGAGUGUGCAUAUAUCAUUCUUUUGUAUUAACACCCACGAGGUGCAUCCUGCUUACAGUUUUAUUCAUUUCUUCAUAUGAUAUCACUGCUGAUGUGGAUGAUAGGUUAUACUUGUAGUUUCAGUGAUGAUCAUAUAUGCAUGAUGAUUCUACGAGAUGUCAUGUGAUGUUAUAUGAUGAUGUCUAGAUUAUAUUAUGAAGAAAUUAUGGUUAUAUUGAUUAUGAUGUGGUUAAUUAAUGAUGUUAUAUUUAUGUAAUUUCGAUUCAGUGAGAUAUGAUGUUGCUAACCAUGAUUAUUGUGUGGCCUCGAUUGGAGAAUGACUAAUUAUGCUUUCAUUUAUAUUAUAUUAUAUGUAUAUGUAUGCACAGGUGUUUGCAUGUUUUGGUUGAUGCAGAUACAGGGCAUUGACUACACCUAGCUCCAUAGGAGUGAGUGUGUCCAUAUCCUCGUGAUGGUUACUGGAGAUAGCACAAUGACCAAAUAUGUUACCUAGCCAUAGCCAUCGUCCCUAAUUUGGAUGAUUUUCUCUUAAUUUAUAUGAUUAUACGUCUAGUUACCAUUCUAGUAAUGUUUGGUUACCCUUAUGCAUCAAUGUGAACGACUAGUAAAGAUUGUAUGUGCAUAGUUAGUAAGUUAUUAAUUAUUGCUAUUAUAAUAUGUAUUUUAAUCAUAUUUUACUCCUAUAGUGGUAAUUUAAUAAUUAAAUGUGAACUAUGCCUUAUAUGUAUUUAAUUUAAUAAGAAUUACAUGAUUUUGCAUUUGGGGUCUUUUGGGAGUUUAAUUGGUUUUAUAAUUGAAAUUGAAAUUUUGUUUUUAUAUUCCCACUCCAAAAAGUGGAAUAUAAUUUGUAUUUGAAUUUUAUUUUCAACACUUAGUUUAUUUUUUCUCCUGCAUUUUGCUCUAAAACCCUACAUGGCAAAUUGGAUUUGUUGAGAUUGGAGGAUUGGUGGUGUGGAAUUUUUGGGGUAGGAAUUCAAAAGAUUUGUGCGGGGAAACUCUUUGGGCUCUCUGGAUUUCAUGACUUCUCUCAGUGUGUUUGGCUUUCUUUUUUAUUUUGAAGGUUUCAUCAAGUUAAAGGUAUGUUUCUUGAUUUUCUCUCUUGUUUAUUAUUUUGAAUGUUUGAUUCUUGUUGCAAAUGGUUUAUAAAUGGAUUUAGAUCCUUUUUACAUUUUGCAUUUAGUCUUUUGGUUGAGUUUUUUUAACUUGUAGUUUAAAUUUUUAAAAGGAUGGAUGGAAUGGGGAAACUUUGCCCAAAUUUUUGUGGAUGGAUAAAAUGUUGUUUUUAUUGCAUUUUUGGGAUGUUGUGUAGUUAUAGAUCAAUGGGUUUUUUCAGUUUUUCAAUUGGUCAUGUGUGAAAUUUAAGCUUUUUGGAGAUCCAUCAAUGGUGGAUGACCUUCAUGAUUGAUUUUUAGCCAAAUUGGGCAUUUGUUUGAAAUGAGAAUUUGAUGUUGGAAAUGUGAUAUUAUUAUGUGGAGUCAUUAUAUUAUAUAUAGAAUUUUUGAAUUAGGAUUGAUUCAGAUCCAAUUUCGUGUUAUUAAGGCCAUUUGAGCAUUUGAGAACAUGACGUUAAGAUGCAUUGCUUACAUGUGUUUUGUGAGUAUCGUCUUUGAGAUUGGCAUUGUAAAUGUGAUUGUAUGAUAUGCAUUGAGAUGCUUAGCAUGAGCCUAGGAUUAGGUCCUAGAGUAAGAGUAGGGAGUGGCUCCCAUUCGUGUCUUCGACCUACAAGUGGUACGCUUGGCAAUCACGAUUGGGGAGUUUAGUAAAUAAGUGAUAACAUAAUAAUAAACUUGUGGUAAACAUUAAUAAGAUAAUAUGGAUUCCUCAAGCAUGCCAUGAGUGUUAUCACAUGGCUAUAGAUGUCUUGAGAAGGCAUGCUCGCACAUAGAGCGUUGGGACUUGUUUGAAGAGGCAAUGCCCAUUCAUGUAGUGGUGGGACUUGCACGAUUGUCAUUCUUGUCUGCAUGAGAGAAUGCUCGAUUUUGUAUGUUGCGUCCUCUUGAGCAUAUAUGAUGACACUCCCUCCAUUGCACUCUAGUAUCUAAUGCCUUGAGUGUAGCUGGAGUAGAGAUCCUUGAUGAAUUCAUGGAUUGGUAUCUCCCCUUCAUGAUGUUUCAUUACAUAUUGUUGAUAGUAUAUAAUGUGUAUGCUUUGUGUAUGGUGUGUGUGUAAGACCUUGUAUCCUUGCUUGCAUUGCUUUAGCAUUUGGGCCUUGUGACUAUCUCCACAAGCACGGUGGGGUGGACCUAUGGACACCACAUGGUUGGGUGGUGUUGCAUGCCAUCAUUGGGGACUAGUGCACUUGUUCGCGAGCACUUUGGAGAGCUUCUUCACCUUCCUCAUCACUUGACCUUCUUCAUCUUCUUCUUUUCAAGUUGUAAUAUGAAUGUAAUUUAAUAUAAUCAUUGUAAUUGAUGUUGAAAUGUAUAUUGAGAACACUCCAUGUAGAGAUUGAUGUAAUGAAACAUAUUGAUAUAAUUAGGGUAGACUUUAGUGGACCAUUGUUGGAAUCGACCAAUAAUCAUGCCUAUGUAUGCUCUCAUUUGAUGUCAUAUUAAGUGGUGCAGCCACCAGUUACGAGGGACCUCAAAGAGAUCAAUCCAGACAAGGCAGAAAGAGUAAACACAACGGAAGCAAGAGGAUAUGAUGGAGGAUGAUGAGCCUAAAUAAUGGCUCUAUCUUGAUAGAUUUUUGAUACAAUACUCCUGCCUAGGUCUUAUGAUUAGAUGACAUUUGGAUUAUAAUACUCUUUUAGGUUGAUACCUUUUAAGUGUUUCUGAACUGGUUUAACUUAUACCUAAGGAUGUCAUGUAAUGAUCUAUCCAUGCAAAUAUCUGAAAACAAUUAUUAACAUGGUUUGCAUUAUGUCAUGUUAGCAUUAAUAUAUACACAUGUUUGUUGUGCAUUAAUAUCAUGAUGCAGGGUCAGCAAAGGCGAUGUAAGGACAAAUGGCGGUUCAAAAUAUCAUCAAAUACAUAACCGCAACACAAACCCAGCCAAAGAAAUGCAGUAAUGAUCAGAACCACUUGAGCGGUUCUUCAACAGAUUGAUUUAUGAACAUUUAUAACUGUUCUUAGUGGAUCUUAUAUCUAGGAGACUAGUCAUGAUAUAUUUUCUCAGCUGUAGGACAGAUGUUGUUCUAUUGUCCCGCGCUGACUUCUUCUCUUGUUAAUAAAUCAUGUUCACCUAUUCCGUAGGAAUGUGAUUGAUCAGUUAGAAGUUUGUUAUAAAUUUUCCUAUAAAUAAAGGGAUCUCUCUCCUCUUGGGGAUAGCAGAGAACACUCAUAGUAUUUUGUAAUACACAGUCUUUUGGUACUAAUUUAUGUAUUUUUCAAUCAAGAUGAAAUAAAGAGAUCAAUGCGAUUUUGGAUAA